AUGAACGCUGGCGGCGUGCCUAAUACAUGCAAGUCGAGCGCACGGACGAGAAGCUUGCUUCUCUGAUGUUAGCGGCGGACGGGUGAGUAACACGUGGAUAACCUACCUAUAAGACUGGGAUAACUUCGGGAAACCGGAGCUAAUACCGGAUAAUAUUUUGAACCGCAUGAUUCAAAAGUGAAAGACGGUCUUGCUGUCACUUAUAGAUGGAUCCGCGCUGCAUUAGCUAGUUGGUAAGGUAACGGCUUACCAAGGCAACGAUGCAUAGCCGACCUGAGAGGGUGAUCGGCCACACUGGAACUGAGACACGGUCCAGACUCCUACGGGAGGCAGCAGUAGGGAAUCUUCCGCAAUGGGCGAAAGCCUGACGGAGCAACGCCGCGUGAGUGAUGAAGGUCUUCGGAUCGUAAAACUCUGUUAUUAGGGAAGAACAUAUGUGUAAGUAACUGUGCACAUCUUGACGGUACCUAAUCAGAAAGCCACGGCUAACUACGUG
rnacentral:rRNA from 1 species